UGAGAAGUGGCGCGGAGGUGAGCCCAGAGCUGUCCCUGAGGUGAGGCUGAGAAUAAGUGCAAGGCAGAGGUGCUGCUGAGGAAGGAGAGCCCCGUGGUGGGGAAGACACAAAGCUGUGAGUGCCCAUCCCCGAGAAGGUGCUGUGUCCAUCCCCUGUGUGCCAGGAUUUGUCCUUCUCAAAGCUUGGGCGGAUGGAGGAGGAGGCUGCGAGGAAGAGGAAGAUGCCUUGGGCCCCCCAGGCAGGCCCCAAGCUGAGGACGGAGAGCCUGGAGGACAAAUCCCCCCGUGAGACCCUGGUGGGAGAGGCCAUUUUGAAGGGCUCCACAGCGCAGGAAGGCAGCGGGGAGGAAAAGGGCCGGAGAUCCCCCCGCAGGAGGGGCUCCAAAGCCAUCCCAGGGUGCUCUGAGGAGGAAAGAGCCAGCCUGUGCU